rnacentral:tRNA from 1 species
GCCUGGGUGGCUCAGUUGGUUGAGCGUCUGACUUCGGCUCAGGUCAUGAUCUCGCGGUCCGUGAGUUCGAGCCCCGCGUCGGGUU